GGGGCUGACCGGUUUUGACAGCGGGCAGAAGAGGUAUGCAAGCAUGCCGGGCUUUGAUCGCACAGCCCGUCAACAACGGCGUUCAAAACACAACUGGCGAAAAUAAUUACGCUCUCGCCGCUUAAUCGAAUUACAGUAGGUUAGGCUAAUUCCGACACUAGGUGACGGAACGGGACGUCACUCCGGAGGUCACGCCUUCAGCCGUCCGGGUACAGUGGCGCAGCAAUUGAAGGAUAGUCUGGGGAAUGCUCCGUGCCCCCGGCGAAACUCAGGAGAUAAGGUAGCGGUCGGUGGUCCUGAUCCAGCCGUUACCCGACAAUCAAGUCGGGACUAAGCAUGUAGAAACCAUAUGGCUUCCUCGUUUGGACGCGGGUUCGACUCCCGCCAGCUCCACGA
rnacentral:tmRNA from 1 species